AUACGGAGGGUGCAAGCGUUGUUCGGAAUUAUUGGGCGUAAAGAGCAUGUAGGCGGACUAUUAAGUCUGGUGUGAAAGCCCGGGGCUCAACCCCGGAAGUGCAUUGGAUACUGGUAGUCUUGAGUAUGGGAGAGGAAAGUGGAAUUCCGAGUGUAGGAGUGAAAUCCGUAGAUAUUCGGAGGAACACCAGUGGCGAAGGCGGCUUUCUGGACCAAUACUGACGCUGAGAUGCGAAAGCGUGGGGAGCGAACAGGAUUAGAUACCCGAGUAGUCC
rnacentral:rRNA from 1 species